rnacentral:lncRNA from 1 species
UAAAAAGGAUCUCGCGUUGUUACACUGCGAGAGAGGAUUUAUUGUGGAUGGGCAUGAUCAUGGUCAUCAACAGUUUUCGGCCGGUGGGACGGGUACAUCGAUGCUGACGGCACGUGCGUACAUAGCGCUACGGCGAUUUUUACUGAUGGGCACGUACGUGACGUACGAUGCGUGCAUUUAGGUCGUGUGGAGAGUACUGGAGAAUAUUAUUGCACCUGUAUGUAUGUAAGAGCAAGACUAGUCAUAUCGUAAUUUUGGCAUGUAUCUUUGUUUCUAAUGAAACAUGUGUCCAUGAAAACAAAGAGGUCCGGUGCCAUAUAUAGGAGUAAUGCUAUACUUAUAAAGGUAGAACGUUUGGCCAUGUAUAUUUACCAUUACUGGUUGUAAGAAAUAUCUCUGGACCUACCCCUUUUUAUUAUAAGAACUAAUAAAGAUAAUAAAAAAACUUACGACUACUGCUGAUUUGAAAAAAAAUAGACACUUGACUAUAACUUCUUAAAUUUUUCAUAAUCUCAACCCUCCCCC